rnacentral:ncRNA from 2 species
UCACUUUAGUCGGGGUGCCACGAUGUGGCUGAGAUGAUACCCGUGAACCUGAAACAGUUAGCACUGACGUAGGAAACUAAUAUGCCAAAUUA